rnacentral:lncRNA from 1 species
CGAGGGUGACAAAGGGCUUCAACAAAAACACCACCCUAGCAAUGGCGGCUUCAGCUUCAUCUAGCCUUCUUUCAUCUCGAUCGCCCAUCAAAUUAACCUCUCUAUCUUCCCUUACAUGGAGAUUACCUGUCUCAGUCUCUCUCCCUCGCCACCAGCGACGCCGCGCGUCUCCGGUGUUUGUCGUUCUCUCCAUGGACGCCAAACCUACCGUCCUUGUCGCUGAAAAAUUAGGAGAAGCUGGGCUUG